rnacentral:rRNA from 1 species
UAUUUGGUUGGAUAGAAUGCUAGUCGAGUGGCUCAGCCAAUACGAGCCACGGCAUACAGCUCAGUAACACGUGGCUAAUCUGCCCUUAGGACGAGAACAACCCCGGGAAACUGGGGCUAACUCUCGAUAGGCGAAGAACUCUGGAAUGAGUCUUCACCUAAAUAGUUCAGCGUUACGCUCGUUGGACCGCCUAAGGAUGAGGCCGCGACCGAUCAGGUUGUUGGUGAGGUAAUGGCUCACCAAGCCUUUUACCGGUGCGGGCCGUGAGAGCGGGAGUCCGGAGAUGGGCACUGAGACAAGGGCCCAGGCCCUACGGGGCGCAGCAGUCGCGAAAACUUUGCAAUACACGAAAGUGUGACAGGGCUAUCCCGAGUGCCAUCCGCUGAGGAAGGCUUUUACCCAGUCUAGAAAGCUGGGGGAAUAAGGAGAGGGCAAGUCUGGUGUCAGCCGCCGCGGUAAUACCAGCUCUCCGAGUGGUGUGGAUGUUUAUUGGGCCUAAAGCAUCCGUAGCUGGCUAAGUUAGUCCCUUGUUAAAUCCACCGAAUUAAUCGUUGGAUUGCGGGGGAUACUGCUUGGCUAGGGGACGAGAGAGGCAGACGGUAUUUCCGGGGUAGGGGUGAAAUCCUAUAAUCCCGGGAAGACCACCAGUGGCGAAGGCUGUCUGCUAGAACGCGCCCGACGGUGAGGGAUGAAAGCUGGGGGAGCGAACCGGAUUAGAUACCCGGGUAGUCCCAGCUGUAAACGAUGCAGGCUAGGUGUUUGGACGGCCACGUGCCGUUCUAGUGCCGCAGGGAAGCUGUUAAGCCUGCCGCCUGGGGAGUACGAUCGCAAGAUUGAAACUUAAAGGAAUUGGCGGGGGAGCACCACAAAGGGUGAAGCUUGCGGUUUAAUUGGAGUCAACGCCCGGG